rnacentral:lncRNA from 1 species
CCUAUGUGAUAAAAUGAGAGAGGGAGAUGUAACAGUAGAGGAAUGGAGAAUAGCCAAGACUUCUUAACAUGGAGGCUGAAUUUCGAGAGGGCAAGCCUCAACAUGCCAGCAUGUACCAAGUUUUUGUUAGAAUUGUUUUUGUUGUCCUUUUGGCCAAAGCAGCUCACAACGACAAGCCCAGAGUCAAUACGGAAGGAGACUAUACCAAAGUGUGGGUACCAUAUGAGGCCAGCAGAAAGCUCUGCAGUGGGGCUUUCAAGCAGCUCAAGCAAAUGUCCUAAAACUUUUGGAGCUGGAUGAAUGUACUAAAUGCCAGUAAUUGUAUAACUUAAAAUAGUUAAUUUUGUGUUAGAUGAAUUUUACCUCAAUAAGAGAGAGAGAGAAAUAUCUUAAGGUGUGUAUUCAAUUAAGACAAUGCAGACAUACUACACAAUUUUUAUAUAUAUAUAUAUAUAUUUUUUUUUUUUGAAAUGGAGUCUCACUCUGUCAACCAGGCUGGAGGGCAGUGACAUGAUCCCGGCUCACUGCAACCUCCGCCUCCCAGGUUUCAGCUAUUCUCCUGCCUCAGCCUCCUGAGUAGCUGGGAUUACAAGCAUGUGCCACCAAAUCCAGCUAAUUUUUGUAUUUGUAGUAGAGAUGGAGUUUCGGCUAGUCAGGCUGGUCUUGAACUCCUGCCCUCAUGUGAUCCUCCCAUCUCAGCCUCCCAAAGUGCUGGGAUUACAGGCAUGAGCCACCAUGCCUGGCCAUAUAUAUAUAUAUAUAUAUAUAUAUCUCAACUGUGUGUGUAUAUUUAAGUAUAGUAUGUAUACAAUUCUCGAUAAGAGAAUACAUUAUUAUAUAUAACACAUUACAUGUAUAUGUAUACACUAUAUAUAUUUUAUAUAUAUAUAAAGGAUUCUUACUCUGCAUCAAUAAAUCAUAUAGAUAUUUAAUUAUACAAUGGACCUUGGGGACUUGCGCAAAAGGGUGGGAGGAAAGUGAGGGAUAAAAGACUACAAAUUGGGUACAGUGUAUGCUGCUUGGGUGAUGGGUGCACCAAAAUCUCACAAAUCACCACUAAAGAACUUACUCAUGUAACCAAUCACCACCUGUUUCCCAUAAACCUAUGGAAAUAAAAAUAAAUAAUUAUAUAGAUAGUUAUCUGCAUAUUAAUCUAAACUCUAAGAGACUUUGAAUAAACUUUUUUUUUUUGAGAUGGAGUUUCACUCUUGUUGCCCAGGCUGGAGUACAAUGGCUCGAUCUCAGCUCACUGCAACCUCCGCCUCCCAGGUUCAAGUGAUUCUCCUGCCUCAGCCUCCCAAAUAACUGGGAUUGCAGGCAUGCACCACCACACCCAGCUAAUUUUGUGUUUUUUAGUAGAGACAGAGUUUCUCCAUGUUGGUCAGGCUGGUCUCGAACUCCUGACCUCAGGUGAUCUGCCCGCCUCGGCCUCCCAAAGUGCUGGAUUACAGGCGUGAGCCACCGUGCCCGGUCUGAAGAAACUUUUUAUCAGUGAAAAUUCCAUAAUAGUUUAAUGGAAAGAGAAAAGUCACAUGUUAGAUGGACCUCUUUCAUAAACUUUCUUUAUAUUCUUUUAAAAAACCUUACCUCUUCUAUUUAUUGUUUGGUUGAAAACUAAAUUUUUCAGAAGAUAUAAGUUAACCAAAAAAGUCUGGCAUUUCUCUUCAGAGAAGAAGCACUAAACACAUAAUCUUCUCACUUACUUUACUUCAAAUAAAUAUUUCAACUGUAUUUUGUUCAAGAAAAAUUUCUCUAAUUUUCAGAGAUGAGGUCCAGAUUACUAAUAAGAAGCUUUUUAUCAGCCUGCCUGUCACUUCCUUGUAAGUGGCCUGUUUUUUUGUUUUUUAUUCACUGUUAGAAGGAUUUGAAGUUUGCAUUUACACUUCAAAGUAAUAGUUGCCAGUGUUCAGGGAUGGGUGAGGGAAUGGUGGGUAUGAUUAUUAAAGGUUAAUAGGAGGCAGAUUUUUAUAUUCAUGAAGUAGGUCUGUAUCCUGAUUGCAGGGGUGGUUACAAAAAUCUACACUUGUGAUAAAUGACAUAGAACAAUGAAACAUCAGUAAAAUAACAUUUUAUCAAUGUCAGUUUCCUUGUUUAGAUAUUAUACUAUAAUUAUUUAAUAUGUAUCCAUUGGGAGAUAAAUAAGAAAUUGAUACACAGAAGCUGUCUGUCCCUAUCUUUCCAACCUUCUAUGAAUCUAUA